rnacentral:tRNA from 1 species
GCCUUUGUGGUGUAGUAGUCAGCGGGCUCGACGUGUAUUCGAGAGAUCCGUGGUUCGAAUCCCGGUGAGAGCA